CGCCGCGUGAAGGANGAAGCCCUGUGGGGUGUAAACUUCUGUCGAAUGGGAGCAAUUNAAGAGAGAGUACCAUUCUAAUAGAGGCUGCUAACUUCGUGCCAGCAGCCGCGNUAAUA
rnacentral:rRNA from 1 species